rnacentral:rRNA from 1 species
AACNACUUUACAAUGCCGGCAGCGAUAAGGGAACCUCGAGUGCCANGUUACAAAUCUGGCUGUCGUGAUGCCUAAUAAGCAUUUCAUAGCAAGGGCCGGGCAAGACCGGUGCCAGCCGCCGCGGUUACACCGGCGCCUCGAGUGGUAACCGUUAUUAUUGGGUCUNAAGGGUCUGUAGCCGGCCGGAUAAGUCUCCUGAGAAAUCUGGCAGCUUAACUGUCAGGCUUUCAGGAGAUACUGUCUGGUUCGAGGCCGGGAGAGGUGAGAGGUACUUCAGGGGUAGGGNUGAAAUCSUUGUAAUCCUUGAAGGACCACCUGUGGCGAAGGCGUCUCACCAGAACGGACCUGNCGGNAAGGGACGAAAGCCAGGGGCACGAACCGGAUUAGAUACCCGGGUAGUCCUAGCCGUAAACGAUACUCGCUAGGGGUCGGCCACGGUGCGACCGUUGUCGGUGCCGUAGGGAAGCCGUGANGCGAGCCACCUGGCAAGUACGGCCGCAAGGCUGAAACUUAAAGGAAUUGGCGGGGGAGGUAUGG